GACGAACGCUGGCGGCGUGCUUAACACAUGCAAGUCGUACGGUAAGGCCCUUUCGGGGGUACACGAGUGGCGAACGGGUGAGUAACACGUGAGUAACCUGCCCACAACUUUGGGAUAACGCUAGGAAACUGGUGCUAAUACUGGAUAUGUGCUCCUGCUGCAUGGUGGGGGUUGGAAAGCUCCGGCGGUUGUGGAUGGACUCGCGGCCUAUCAGCUUGUUGGUGGGGUAGUGGCCUACCAAGGCGGCGACGGGUAGCCGGCCUGAGAGGGUGACCGGCCACAUUGGGACUGAGAUACGGACCAGACUCCUACGGGAGGCAGCAGUGGGGAAUAUUGCACAAUGGGCGCAAGCCUGAUGCAGCAACGCCGCGUGCGGGAUGACGGCCUUCGGGUUGGAAACCGCUUUCAGCAGGGACGAAGCUUUUUGUGACGGUACCUGCAGAAGAAGCACGGGCUAACUACGUG
rnacentral:rRNA from 1 species